rnacentral:rRNA from 1 species
AUUGAACGCUGGCGGAAUGCUUUACACAUGCAAGUCGAGCGGCAGCGCGGCCUUCGGGCUGGCGGCGAGCGGCGAACGGGUGAGUAAUGCAUCGGAACAUGCCCAGUCGUGGGGGAUAACACUUCGAAAGAAGUGCUAAUACCGCAUACGUCCUGAGGGGGAAAGCGGGGGAUCGCAAGACCUCGCGCGAUUGGAGUGGCCGAUGUCAGAUUAGCUAGUUGGUGGGGUAAAGGCCUACCAAGGCGACGAUCUGUAGCUGGUCUGAGAGGAUGAUCAGCCACACUGGGACUGAGACACGGCCCAGACUCCUACGGGAGGCAGCAGUGGGGAAUUUUGGACAAUGGGGGCAACCCUGAUCCAGCCAUUCCGCGUGAGUGAAGAAGGCCUUCGGGUUGUAAAGCUCUUUCGGCAGGAACGAAACGGUGGGCUCUAACAUAGUCCGCUAACGACGGUACCUGAAGAAGAAGCACCGGCUAACUACGUG